GGCAUCCAAAGGAUUAUAAUCCGAAAACAAUGCAUAGUUCAAAUCUAGAGUCCUUGCAGGCUCAAUGCGAACACCCAUUCCAUCUAAACGUCUUUCGCUCCUAUAUGAUGGAUCGC
rnacentral:snoRNA from 1 species